rnacentral:misc_RNA from 1 species
GAUGAAGAACGUAGCGAAAUGCGAUAAGUAGUGUGAAUUGCAGAAUUCAGUGAAUCAUCGAAUCUUUGAACGCACCUUGCGCCCUUUGGCUAUUCCGAAGGGCAUGCCUGUUUGAGUAUCAUGAACACCUCAACUCUCAUGGUUUUUCCAUGAUGGGCUUGGACUUUGGGGGUCUUGCUGGCCUAUAGUCAGCUCCUCUUAAAUGAAUCAGCUUGCCAGUGUUUGGUGGCAUCACAGGUGUGAUAACUAUCUACGCUUGUGGUUUUCCAUCAGUCACCUUCAGCGAUGGAGGUUCGCUGGGGCUCAUAAAGAAGGCCUCUCCUCGGUGAGGAUGGCUCCUUUGAACGUUUGAUCUCAAAUCAGGUAGGACUACCCGCUGAACUUAAGCAUAUCAAUAAGCGGAGGA